rnacentral:rRNA from 1 species
UUGAUCUCAAAUCAGGUAGGACUACCCGCUGAACUUAAGCAUAUCAAUAAGCGGAGGAAAAGAAACUAACAAGGAUUCCCCUAGUAACUGCGAGUGAAGCGGGAAGAGCUCAAAUUUAAAAUCUGGCGUGCCUCUGGCCGUCCGAGUUGUAGUCUGGAGAAGCGUCUUCCGUGUUGGACCGUGUAUAAGUCUCUUGGAACAGGGCGUCAUAGAGGGUGAGAAUCCCGUCUUUGACACGGACUACCAAUGCUUUGUGAUGCGCUCUCAAAGAGUCGAGUUGUUUGGGAAUGCAGCUCAAAAUGGGUGGUAAAUUCCAUCUAAAGCUAAAUAUAGGCGAGAGACCGAUAGCGAACAAGUACCGUGAGGGAAAGAUGAAAAGCACUUUGGAAAGAGAGUUAAACAGNACGUGAAAUUGCUGAAAGGGAAAC